GUCAAGCGUCUUGUGAAAUCCCUCGGCUUAACCGAGGAACUGCUUGGCGAACUGGCUGUCUUGAGGCAAGUAAGGGCGCGUGGAACUCUUGGUGGAGCGGUGGAAUGCGUAGAUAUCAAGAGGAACGCCGGAGGUGAAGACGGCGCGCUGGGCUUGUCCUGACGCUGAGGUGCGAAAGCCAGGGGAGCGAACGGGAUUAGAUACCCCGGUAGUCCUGGCCCUAAACGAUGUCCACUAGGUCGAUGGUUCUCUGACGGAUUGUCGGCCGAAACCAAAGCGUUAAGUGGACCGCCUGGGGAGUACGGUCGCAAGGCUAAAACUCAAAGGAAUUGACGGGGACUCACACAAGCGGUGGAGCAUGUUGCUUAAUUCGAUGCAACGCGAAGAACCUUAUCCUGGGCUUGACAUGUAUGGAUGCCUACCUGGAAACAGGAUCGGUUGCCCUUCGGGGUGAAACGUACACAGGUGCUGCAUGGCUGUCGUCAGCUCGUGUCGUGAGAUGUUGGGUUAAGUCCCGUAACGAGCGAAACCCUUGUCGCUAGUUGCCAGCGGGUAAUGCCGGGGACUCUAGCGAGACUGCCUGUGUCAAACCGGGGGAAGGUGGGGAUGACGUCAAGUCCUCAUGGCCUUUAUGCCCAGGGCUGCAAACGUGCUACAAUGGCCGAGACAAAACGACGCAAGACCGCGAGGUGGAGCUAAUCGGAAAAAAUCGGUCUCAGUUCGGAUUGGAGUCUGCAACUCGACUCCAUGAAGUU
rnacentral:rRNA from 1 species